AUGAUUUAUUUAUUUUAUAUUAUUUAUUUAUUUAUAUUAUUUAUUCUAUUUUUAUUAAUAUAUUUAAUUAUAUUUUAUUAUUUUUUAUUAUUAUUUAUUUAUUUAUUAUUAUUUAUUUUAUUUUUUAUUAAUAUAUUUAAUUAUAUUUUAUUAUUUUUUUUUUUUUUUUUAAUUAUUAUUAUUAUUAUUAGCAUAACCAUAAUGAAGCACAAUAUCUCCACUGUGCUUGUGAGUUUUUGUGUCAGCUGUGAAUCCAUAUGCUGCACACUAUUCCUCUUUAAUCUCAUUAUCACUUCUGUUUACGUCUCAAGGCCCGUAUUUACCCAGAAUCCUCAGCGCUCGCUGACAUCACAGGGCCGUCCUGAUCCUAUUAAACACAGCUAUAUUAAGAUCUUUAUGAGCACUGUAAAUUCAGCACGGGCAACAUAUAAAAAAAUAAGCAAAUUAACCCUGUCCUUCAGCAAUAUGAGUUCAAAGGUGACCGAAAACCUAUUAAAACACACCAUUGGUCUUCAUAUGGGGGUCAAACUGAGACACAUCCACAACACGUCACUCUCCAACAAAAAACAGGAAAAAGACAUCAUAUUCUGUAUUUCAUGAGAACUAAUCUGGUAGCGGUGAUUCUGUACAGUGUCACUCAUAAAUACAGUGAACCGUUUCGUUUUAGUGUUUUUGAAUGAAUCGACUGAAUUAAUUAUUCAGUGACUCUCUCAUAAAGCAUUUUUGAAGGAAUCAGUUGCAUGAAUGAUUUAAAUGACUCACAGUUCCUGAACAAAUCAUUCAAUGAAAUGGUUGAAUAAUCAAACCAAUGACUUCAAAUUUAUAAGUGAAUCAGUGUGCUUGGAUGAAUCUGUUAAAUUGAUGAACUGAAGACUCACUCGUAAAGAUUCUGAAGACUCACUCGUAAAGAUUCAUUCCUCAAUCCAUCAGUUUAUUUAAACAAAUCAGUUGAAUGAAUGAUUCAAAUGACUCACUCACAGAGACUUGAUUUGUUCCUAAAUGAAACAGUGUUUUUUUUAAUUAACUGUUGAAUUAAUGAAUGAACGACUCACUCAUAAAGUCAGUAAAUUGUUUCGCUUCAGUGUUUUUGAAUGAAUCGACUGAAUUAAUUAUUUAAUGACUCUCUCAUAAAGCAUUUUUGAAGGAAUCGGUUGUAUGAAUGAUUCAAAUGACUCACUCGUAAAGACUAGUUCCUGAACAAAUCAGUGUUUUUGAAUAAAACGGUUGAAUGAACAAACCAAUGACUUCAAAUUUCUGAGUAAAUCAGUGUGCUUGGGCGAAUCUGUUAAAUUAAUGAAGUCAUUUAUUUCAUCCCUUAAAGCAAUCGAUUAAAAGAAUAAUUCAAUGACUCGCUCAUAAAGCAUUUUUAAAGGAAUCAGUUGCAGGGAUGAUUCAAAUGACUCACUCAUGACAAAAGCACAGAAUCACUGCUGGAGGGUUGUUCCUCACUGAUUAGAGUCGUAUGACUCAGUGAACCAACAUCACAGGAAUCACACACACGUCAGGAGGUCAAAGGUCAUCUGUUCUGUGUUUACACUGGCUAAUCUACUUCCUGCUUUCCGCUCCACCCAGAGGGAAAUGACAUCACCAGCGAGAGGCUUUUUCUCUCGCUAAUUGAAUCGUGUUAUUAAAGAUCCGUUACGCCGGAGACGAACUGAGCAUGAAUAAACCAGCAAAAAAUUCACACACAUAGAUCACAUGGGUCACGUCACCAUGGCAACCAGCAAAAUAGAUGUCUGCCAUCUCAGUAAAAGACAGAGAGCGACAGAGAGGAUUCUGGGUAGAGACAGGAGCUGCAGAAAGUUUUCCGAGAAACCCAGUGAUGCUUCUGUGGUUCACGUCCUCCUGAUCAAACAGAGCCGCUCUCACAUGCUCCUGUCCUCCAGCUGAUGCUUAAGUCUCUUUUAAUGAAGAGAGAUCAAGCGGAGCCCGGCGUGAGACACACACACACACGUGUUACUGCAGCACGAAACGACCGUGCUGUUUGUUAGUUAAACCACGGUUAAUUAGUACAUUCCACUUACAGCUGGAGGUCUAGGAACCGCAGGAACUUCUUACAGAAAAUCAAACAAAACCUUAUAUGAUUAGAAUACUAGAGCUGCUGACUUCAUCAGAGAACACACCAGAUAAGUACAGAGAGUGAUUAUACACACGUGUGUGUGUCUGUGUGUGUGUGUGUGUGUGUGUGUGUGUGUGUGUGUGUGUGUCGUUACCAACCGCUGGACUUCAGCAGUGUUUAUCGUUCACUAAAACUAAAUCCAAACCAUAAAAAAAGUAAAGGUACUUGAAAUGGCAUUACAUUAACUAAAAUAAAUUGUAAACUUUUUUUUUACAUAUUUCAUUAUUUUAACAUAUAUUUUAUUA
rnacentral:lncRNA from 1 species